ACCGGGUGUGGUGGCACAUAUCUGUAAUCCCAGGGACUUGGGAGGCUGAGGCAGGAGGAUCACAAGUUUCGGGUCAGUUUCAGCAACUUAGUGAGACCCUGUUUCAA
rnacentral:sRNA from 1 species